rnacentral:tRNA from 1 species
AAGAAGUUAGUUAAUAAAUAACACUAGUAUGUCAUACUAAAAUUAUUAGAAUACCUAAUACUUCUUU